GACUGUGAAAGGGAAAGGAUUUAAAGAGGGUUAAGGGAUAGCAGGGACUCCCCCCGCUCCUCACCGGGGACUUCAUUUAUGAGGGCUUCCAACUCACAUAAUCCCAUUAGCUGACCCCCAGUUAGGCCUUUGGAAGAGUGGCAGCAUUGGCGAGGAGCAGAUACCUGUCCUGCUGAUGGGUUGAGGACCUUCUACGGCCCUGUCCAGCUCUGCUGCCUGUCUCCUGGCAUACACUCGAUGGUCCUGAACAAGUGCCGGAAGACACAACAAACCUUCUGGCAAUGGCAUGCAUUGUUGUGCCAUCCUGCAGAAGUUGGACUACCUGUGCAACCUCUGCAUGGUCCAGAUGAAUUGUGGGUGUGAAGGUCGCUUAAGAGUCAUGUGGUCAUCAGAGGACAAUAGAGCAGGAAAAGAGUGGAGCAGCACUGAUGGAGAUGGAUGAAGACUUGGCUGACCUUUGCUAUCGCCCUGCAAGGUCAGCAGAAGCAUUUGGGACCAUAUGUGUAUCCUCAGCUCUGGUAUCUGUCAGGUUUAUCAGUGCUGAUCGUAUUUCUGAUUCAGUGUAUGGAUUGAGCUUCUUAUCUAAUCCUUGUUGAGAUUCUUGUGUUAAUGCCUGAGUCUGUAAGCAAAAUUUGUAGCAAGAUUUAAGGUGCCAAAAACACUCUCCAUCAACCAAUCUCGUCAUUUUUUCUAAAUUAUUUAGGAUGGGAGGGUUGAUUGUAAUGCAGUGACUGGCUUAUUUGUCGCACUGCUUCAGCUGACAUUCAGCAAAGCAGGACUUUCCAGAAUGCUGAUUUCUUUUCUGUUGCCAUAGAAAAAUCACAUGAGCAGAGUCCAAGUUGCAGAAAAAUAUCAACAGCAAAAUAUCAUCAACAAUAAAAUGUCCUUAAGUAACAAAAUCAGACCCUUUGAGGCAGUCACCACACGCUGCCAGAAAAGCUGCGAUACGCUUUUGCAUCGAUUGUUUGAAACUCUCCUGGAAGAUCAGAUAUAUUUCCUCGAUUUUUGUCUUGGUGACAGCGAUUUAGAGUGCUAUCUAACUUGCGGUUCCAAAAUCUAUUGUGUUGGGUUAAGAAUCCUGCAAAGGCCAAUGCUUUUGAUUUAUAUCAUUCAAAGAGCAGCUGUGCCCUAUAUAUAGGGUAGAAAUGUUUUAUCACAGGAUCAAGAUGAUCACUAAGUUCAGAUAAGCGGAUCAAAGGCUUUUAUUUCUUAUAGUUGGUGAAUAUUGUAUAACCUUGUGUAAACGUGGUGUUGUACCAGAGCAUUUCAAAUGUAGAACAUCAUAAUGCAUAAAUUUUCUUCCAAAUUUUUAGAAUGGAUCAGUCCAUAAAGAAGCAAUUCCCUCCAUGUCUUGGAUGUUACUCACUAUUGUAACCAAGUUACUCUUAGUUGGGCAUUCACUUUUCAAACAUUUACAUGUAGAAGUAUUUAAGUAGAAUAUACAUGUAUAAGAUUGCUCACAGUGUUACAUAGUUGAACCAAAAAGUCCACCUCUCUUCCCAAUAUAGUCAGUAGUGCCCUUAUUUUCUCCCGCCAGCAGGGCAAACUGACUGUGCAACUCCAAAAUAUAUGAUAGUGGUCUGCCAGCUGUUCUCCACGCUUCUGCCAACACAAACCAGUCGUUUCACCUGUGUGUGCAUACUUUAACAUGGGGGUUAUAAAAUAUCUUUAUAGGUUCUGCCAGCAGAAUCCUCUCCAAGCACCUGAGCUGGUGGAGGUCAACUGCAUCAGACACAUAGUCUGCCAAUCAUCCUCUGAAAUGGAAAACUCAGACUCUUUCUCAUACUUGCUUUUCAAUUUAUUACUUGCAUGUUUUUUCCACUGACUUGAUAUUUGAAUAUAAUCUUGAAACAAGUUUCUUAUUUCUGUUAAUAAAUUAUUAAAUUGGAGUCUUUUGUAUUUCUGAAUUUUAUCUUGUCAUUAGAGGAAAUGUUAAUGUGGAAGUGUUAAUGUUAUCCCAUCUAUAGGUUUCCUAGAUUUUCUGUAAGCUAUGUAAUCAUCCACAUGAUGAGACUAAACAAUAGGAAGUUAUACCAUUUCUACUAUUUAAACCUCUAAUCGA